GCCGCUCGGUAAAAUCAGCAAAGGAAAAAAGUUUUGCUUCCAACAAGGAAAGCAAGAUUUCCUGUUUCCAUGAUGAUGGAAGGCAGGUAAUUCCUUUAUGGAGUUUGAGCUCGCUUCUGACAUGGAAGAUGAGAUUUUUUUCCCCCUGCUUCUAGGAAGGUAGAGAGUGGUCUACAGCCUGAGACUCAUCCCUAGGUUUUUGCAUUUAUAAGAACCAGAUAGCCCCACCUGGACCUACCAACCAGUUCUGUGGCCCCCACCUGGGAACUGACUCAACAGAGUCAAGAAGACUUUUAAUCUAUUUACAGCUUUCAACAAUUGAGUAAAGUAUACUCCUUUGAACAAAAUUUGGAGCAUACUUGUUUCUACCUGAUUUCUACAGAAUUUGAAAACUAUUUGAUAUGAGACUUCACAGCCUGCUAAAAAUGAGCUCUCUUAAUAACCCGUCUAGGAAUAAACCAUCCUAACCAUGAGAGAUCAGACAAAAUGUGAGACCAGAGACUCAUUUUCUUCUAAAAUGCUUUCUCCAAAAGAUUUUUUAAAAGAAAAAGGGGGAAAUGUGAAAGGAAA